CCUACGGGCGGCUGCAGUGGGGAAUAUUGGACAAUGGGGGCAACCCUGAUCCAGCCAUGCCGCGUGAGUGAUGAAGGCCCUAGGGUUGUAAAGCUCUUUUGUGCGGGAAGAUAAUGACGGUACCGCAAGAAUAAGCCCCGGCUAACUUCGUGCCAGCAGCCGCGGUAAUACGAAGGGGGCUAGCGUUGCUCGGAAUCACUGGGCGUAAAGGGUGCGUAGGCGGGUCUUUAAGUCAGGGGUGAAAUCCUGGAGCUCAACUCCAGAACUGCCUUUGAUACUGAAGAUCUUGAGUAUGGGAGAGGUGAGGGGAACUGCGAGUGUAGAGGUGAAAUUCGUAGAUAUUCGCAAGAACACCAGUGGCGAAGGCGGCUCACUGGCCCAUAACUGACGCUGAGGCACGAAAGCGUGGGGAGCAAACAGGAUUAGAUACCCGAGUAGUC
rnacentral:rRNA from 1 species